GUGCUCGCUUCGGCAGCACAUAGACUAAAACGGGAACGAUACAGAGAAGAUUAUCAUGGCCCCUGCGCAAGGAUGACACGCAAAUUCAUGAAGCGUUGCAUAUUUUU
ensembl:snRNA U6 U6 spliceosomal RNA